rnacentral:rRNA from 1 species
UUCGCAAUGCCCGAAAGGAUGACGAAGCGACGCCGCGUGUGGGAAGAAGGCCUUCGGGUUGUAAACCACUGUCGGGAGUUAAGAAAUGUAAGGGUGUUAAUAGUGCCUUUACUUGACAAAGGCUCCGGAGGAAGCCACGGCUAACUCUGUGCCAGCAGCCGCGGUAAUACAGAGGCGGCAAGCGUUGUUCGGAAUUAUUGGGCGUAAAGAGCACGUAGGCGGCUUUGCAAGUCAGUUGUGAAAGCCUUCCGCUUAACGGAAGAACAGCAGCUGAUACUACAGAGCUUGAGUACGGGAGGGGAGAGUGGAACUUCUGGUGGAGCGGUGAAAUGCGUAGAUAUCAGAAGAAACGCCGGCGGCGAAAGCGACUCUCUGGUCCGAAACUGACGCUGAGUGUGCGAAAGCUAGGGGAUCAAACGGGAUUAGAUACCCCGGUAGUCCUAGCCGUAAACGAUGGGCACUAAGUAGAGGGGUUUU